rnacentral:misc_RNA from 1 species
UUUUAUGUAUGUUACAUCAGAACUUUUGCCCGUGUGGACCGAUUUCGACAAAUUUUGUUUUAAUCGAAAGGUGGUGUGUGUCAAUUGGUCUCAUUUAAAUUUAUUUGAGAUCUAACAACUACUUUUCGAGUUAUACCUAAUAAUGCGUUUUUACUUGACGCUUUUUUUGUCGACCUACGUUGUAUUAUACCGCAUAACUUUCUACUAGAUGUACCGAUUUUGAUAAUUCUUUUUUUGUUGGAAAGAGGAUAUCCCUAGUUUAGUACCAUGAUAAGAAAACCAAGAUCUGAUGAUGGGAUCCCAGAGAAAUCGAGGGAAACUCUCGAAAAUCCGCAAUAA